UACGGAGGGUGCGAGCGUUGUCCGGAAUCACUGGGCGUAAAGGGCGCGUAGGCGGCGCAGGAAGUCAACGGUGAAAGUUCGGGGCUCAACCCUGAAUCGGCCGUCGAUACUCCUGGGCUCGAGCGCUGUAGAGGCAGAUGGAAUUCCGGGUGUAGCGGUGGAAUGCGUAGAGAUCCGGAAGAACACCGGUGGCGAAGGCGGUCUGCUGGGCAGUUGCUGACACUGAGGCGCGACAGCGUGGGGAGCAAACAGG
rnacentral:rRNA from 1 species